rnacentral:rRNA from 1 species
CAGCCGCCGCGGGAAUACAGAGGGUGCGAGCGUUAAUCGGAUUUACUGGGCGUAAAGCGUGCGUAGGCGGCUUCUUAAGUCGGAUGUGAAAUCCCUGAGCUUAACUUAGGAAUUGCAUUCGAUACUGGGAAGCUAGAGUAUGGGAGAGGAUGGUAGAAUUCCAGGUGUAGCGGUGAAAUGCGUAGAGAUCUGGAGGAAUACCGAUGGCGAAGGCAGCCAUCUGGCCUAAUACUGACGCUGAGGUACGAAAGCAUGGGGAGCAAACAGGAUUAGAGACCCGCGUAGUCCCUGUCUCUUAUAA